rnacentral:rRNA from 1 species
AGUGAACGCUGGCGGUAGGCCUAACACAUGCCAGUCGAACGGCAGCACAGUAAGAGCUUGCUCUUACGGGUGGCGAGUGGCGGACGGGUGAGGAAUACAUCGGAAUCUACUUUUUCGUGGGGGAUAACGUAGGGAAACUUACGCUAAUACCGCAUACGACCUACGGGUGAAAGCAGGGGAUCUUCGGACCUUGCGCGAUUGAAUGAGCCGAUGUCGGAUUAGCUAGUUGGCGGGGUAAAGGCCCACCAAGGCGACGAUCCGUAGCUGGUCUGAGAGGAUGAUCAGCCACACUGGAACUGAGACACGGUCCAGACUCCUACGGGAGGCAGCAGUGGGGAAUAUUGGACAAUGGGCGCAAGCCUGAUCCAGCCAUACCGCGUGGGUGAAGAAGGCCUUCGGGUUGUAAAGCCCUUUUGUUGGGAAAGAAAAGCAGCAGGUUAAUACCCCGCUGUUCUGACGGUACCCAAAGAAUAAGCACCGGCGAACUUCGU